rnacentral:rRNA from 1 species
GAUGAACGCUGGCGGCGUGCCUAAUACAUGCAAGUCGAGCGAACAGACGAGGAGCUUGCUCCUCUGACGUUAGCGGCGGACGGGUGAGUAACACGUGGAUAACCUACCUAUAAGACUGGGAUAACUUCGGGAAACCGGAGCUAAUACCGGAUAAUAUAUUGAACCGCAUGGUUCAAUAGUGAAAGACGGUUUUGCUGUCACUUAUAGAUGGAUCCGCGCCGCAUUAGCUAGUUGGUAAGGUAACGGCUUACCAAGGCAACGAUGCGUAGCCGACCUGAGAGGGUGAUCGGCCACACUGGAACUGAGCCUCGCUCCCGACUCCUACGGGACUCAGCAGUAGGGAAUCUUCCGCAGUGGGCGAAAGCCUGACGGAACCACGCGGCGUGAGUGAUGAAGGUCUUCGGAUCGUAAAACUCUGUUAUUAGGGAAGAACAAAUGUGUAAGUAACUAUGCACGUCUUGACGGUACCUAAUCAGAAAGCCACGGCUAACUACGUG